rnacentral:rRNA from 1 species
CCUACGGGUGGCAGCAGUGGGGGAUAUUGCACAAUGGGGGAAACCCUGAUGCAGCGACGCCGCGUGUGGGAAGACGGUCCUCUGGAUUGUAAACCACUGUCCCCAGGGACGAAAAUGACGGUACCUGGGGAGGAAGCUCCGCCUAACUACGUGCAAGCAGCCGCGGUAAUACGCAGGGCGCGAGCGUUGUCCGGAAUUACUGGGUGUAAAGGGAGCGUAGGCGGGGAUGCAAGUUGGGGGUCAAAACUACCGGCUAAACUGGUAGUCGCACUCAAAACUGCAGCUCUUGAGUGAAGUAGAGGCAGGCGGAAUUCCUAGUGUAGCGGUGAAAUGCGUAGAUAUUAGGAGGAACACCAGUGGCGAAGGCGGCCUGCUGGGCUUUUACUGACGCUGAGGCUCGAAAGUGUGGGGAGCAAACAGGAUUAGAUACCCUUGUAGUC